rnacentral:rRNA from 1 species
GACGAACGCUGGCGGCGUGCUUAACACAUGCAAGUCGAACGGAAAGGCCAGUUCUUGCAUUGGCACUCGAGUGGCGAACGGGUGAGUAACACGCGGGUGAUCUGUCUCUCACGCUGAGAUAAGCUUGGGAAACUCGGUCUCAUACUGGGUAUGAACUACCUAUAGGGUGGGGGUUGGAGAGUUUUGUCGGUGCGAGAUGAGCUCGCGGCCUAUCAGCUUGUUGGUGGGGUGAUGGCCUACCAAGGCGUCGACGGGUAGCCGGCCUGAGAGGGUGUACGGCCACAUUGGGACUGAGAUACGGCCCAGACUCCUACGGGAGGCAGCAGUGGGGAAUAUUGCACAAUGGGCGGAAGCCUGAUGCAGCGACGCCGCGUGGGGGAUGACGGCCUUCGGGUUGUAAACUCCUUUCGACAGGGACGAAGCGUAAGUGACGGUACCUGUAUAAGAAGCACCGGCUAACUACGUG